AAUUCGAAAUUGUAUUAAAAAAAGAAUUUUAAAAAUUCAAAUGUAAUUUUCUUAUUUCCCUAAUAAGUAUUCCUUUCCUUUGUUCUGCUAGCCUAUAAAAGGUGGAGCUUUUACAAUCUCAAACCCUCAACCUAAGCGGCGACUAAAACCCUAGCUCUCAGUGUUCUCCCAAUUUCACUUCAAUAUAGUAAGCAACAAUGGCGGCACCUUUGCUUUCGAAAAAAUAUCAUUUUUAAUUUGAGGGUUUAUCUAUGUCAAUGUAUGUAUAUAUCAUAUAUGUAUUGAAGAUUGAAUUUUUUGAGGCUUUAACGAAGUGAUGAUUGUAAUUUUGUCGCCCCAGUCUUACUUGCAAUUUUUCUGAUUGCUAGGUGGUGAUUGACAUUCAUAUCUGAUCUGAGCUUACUAACAUUUCGUUUUUCUUAACUGGAAUUGGAUUUAAAUUGUUCUAUGAUAUGAAGAUAAUCUUUGAUGUUCAGUCUUACUUACAUCUUUAUGAUGUAGCAUGGUGUAUCAAUGAUCGACUAUCUGAUCUUUUCUUCAAGCAAUUCCAAAUUCAAUUUCAUUUUGUAAAAUUGGUAUUUUCUUUUUGAAGUUUUUAUUAUUCUGUUUUUGCAAUUGGAUAUGAGGAUAACUACCCAACAUUUUCUGUAUUUGAAUGAUGAAUUCUUUACAUGCAUCACCAUCUGAUCCUUGUUGCAAAUUCAACUUUUAUUAUCAUAAAGUUUCAGUUUUUUUCUUCUUUCAAUUUUGGAUUGCUAUUUUUAUUAAAUUACACACAACCUAUGAUGCAAAAGUGUUAAAUGUACUGAUUUCAUAAGUGAUUAUUAUCAAACUUAUCACCAUCUUUCGGCUGAGGUUAAAAUGUCCAUUUUGUUAUAAUAAUAAGUCUUUGUUCAAUUUGUCUUUGCUCAUGGUAUCUAAUGUUCAAGGCUUAAUUUACAAUGUGAAUCUCUUUAGUCUUUCGAGGUCUUGUUGUUCAUAGGCUUUCUGUUACUUUUUCCCAGUUUAUAUUCCUUUUUCAAAGAAAACCCCUUUUGAAUCUUAUCACAUACAUUACAAUUUUCAACCAUGGUUUUUUAUCUUGUAUAUUUGCCAUUAGUUUCAUUGCUUUAACUCAAAUCACAGCUUUAGGCCCCUCCUCCUGUAACUUCAGCGCGAUGAAACAGCAAUUGGACAAAUUGAAAGCGUCCACAGCUCAACUCAUCUUUGGUCUUGUAUGAGGGUGAAAGAGAUGAGCAACCAAGUUCAGACAAGAUGACUCUGUUGUGUUGAUGUUAUUCAAGAGGAUCUUGAGACCAAAGGCAAAGGGGAUUAUUUGAUUCAUGAAAACCAACCAUUUGUUUCCCAAACAAUUUGUUGUGAACAUUGUCAAAGAGUUGGAAUUUUUUCUCAUCAUACACAACAGGACCUACUGCAUGUGCUGAGAUUGCUCAUAAUAUCAAGACUAUUUAGAUAGAGGAAGGAUAAUGUUAAGAAGAGAGCUUCUCAGCUUAAUUUUGUUGUGACUUGACAGGUUUGCUAGGUUGAGUAGAAUUAUCCUCAGAUUUGUUUUUAAACUUGUAAGAGUUGCCAAGUGUUGCAUUGAGUUAUUUUUCUCAAUAUACUCUGUUUAUUGAUUCAAUUUGAACCUAUUUGAUCAUAUUUGACAAGUGAAAUGAUAGUAGCUAAGAUUUGAUUUC